GUAAUCUCAUUUUGCUUUCUGUGUGUGGCCUCUGACCUGCGGGUGGUAUAUCGGAGGAGCAGCCCCCCUUCUCGGCAGAUUGUAAUAAAGAGUAACUUUUGCUUCCACCUGGAGAAGUCUCUGAGUUUGAGUUAGGGUCGCUUUGGAGAUUCCACGGAGACCCGCCCACUCGUGAGCGAGACUCCACGUGCCAUCGGAGAGAUUUCUCCAGCAGCCCUCAGGCCAGACAUAGGGAGCCUUCCCUCCGGCUGGGUAAAGUCUGGAAGAGAGAAACUCGGGGAAGCAAAUGUGAAAGAAUGGCAGCAACAAGAUAUUUUGUGAAGUCCGCGGGCAGCAGCGAUUAAGGUGCAGGGGCAUCGGAUCAGUCACGUGCCUCACUUGGAGCAGGCUGCAAGUGGCGCCUGAACAGGGACCUGAAAGACGAUACGAGGAGAGCAGCUCUCUUGGUGCUCUGGAGAAGAAAAAGAAAAACCUUGGCGGCUCAGUGCUGUAGGAACAAGGAAGCCUGGCCAUAUGAAGAAGGAAUGUAGGACCCCUUGAAAGGCAUCAUCACAGCCCGCCACUACUCCUUGUCCUAGGUGUCAAAGGGGAAAUCGUUGGGCAUCACAGUGCAGAUCUACUACAGAUGUUAAUGGGCAGCCUUUAAACCCCCGGUGAGGCUUGCUCCGGCCCCAUCAAACAAUAGGGCCAGUUCUUUCAUUACUACUCCCAGUCCCUGCUCCACGCCCACAAGACUCAUAAUAACAGACCUUAUUCAUGCCACCCCGGGUAGUGCUGGACUAGAUUUCAGUUCCAGUCUUGAUAAGGACAUCGGGGGUGAAGUGGUCUGCAUUCCCACUGGAGUACGUGGCCCAUUACCCCUGGAGAUGGUGGGUCUUAUGCUAGGUCGUAGUUCCCAGACACUUUGGGGACUCACGGUCAUCCCUGGAGUGGUGGAUUCUGAUUACACUGGAUAAAUUGAGGUUAUGGUAUAUGCUUUUCCCUGUUGUCGUUUUUUCAUUCAAAAUGGGGAGAGGCAAGCACGAAUGAUUGUAAUGGACUAUAAAAAACUGGGAAAAACAACAGAAGAAAUAAGGGGGACAGAAGGAUUUGGUAGUACAGGACUGUUUUGGCAUAGAACUAUCACAGACCCUCGACCAAGCUUAAAAAUAGAAGUACAAGGAAAAGAAUUUGAAGGGCUAAUAGACACAGGAGCUGAUAAGUCAGUUAUCAGUUUAUGGGUCUGGCCUAGGGAAUGGCCACUAGAUGAAGGGAAUGUGAUGUUACAGGGAAUAGGAGAAAUAGCUGCUUUUGCACAAACUGCGGUGUGGCUUAUGUGGAAAGUAGAAGGACAUUGAGGAAGAUUUAGACCAUAUGUACUACCACAUAUUCCAUGUUGGCUUUGGGGAAGGGAUUUGUUGAAAAACAUGAAUGUUACAAUAAAUAGCAAAAAUUUUUAGUAGGGGUCAUGGCCAAAGAGAAAAGAAUCGUACAAGUACCAAAGAUCACAUGGAAAGAAGGGCCUCCCAUUUGGGUGGAUCAGUGACCCCUUAAUUUAGAAAAAAUCAGGGUUCUUCAAGAUAUAAUAACUGGACAAUUAGCAGCAGGUCAUAUAGAAUUUUCCACUAGUCCAUGGACUUCUCAUAUAUUUGCUAUUAAGAAAAAAUCAGGUAAAUGGAGAAUGUUAACAGAUCUCAGACAAGUUAAUGCCUGUAUGGAAACUAUGGGAGCUUUACAACCAGGAUUGCCUUCUCCAGUUGCAGAAGAGGAUGAGGGGAAAGGUGUAUUCCCUUUCUCUUAAACAACAGAACUGGAGGAAGCUCAUUCUCCAAAGGAGUUGUCUGAUUUGUGUAGGGGAUUUCUGACUAGUCUUCCUGUCAUUAUGUUAUCUGUUCUAUGUGAGUGUCUGUGUGUAUGUGUGUAAUCUGAAACCUUUUGCGGCUAGCUAGCUUUCUCUCCUUCCCCCUCCCUACUACCAGCCGCCUCCCGGGAGCGGGUGGAUGGGGGUGAGAUGGAGAGGAAAAAUAUUUUAUUAUUUACAUCAUAUGAUUGAUAAAAGAGAAGAAAGUUUAAGCAUGCAAUAAUGAGAGAAGUAGGGGUAGAAAGAAUAGCAUAAUCUGUCUGCAUUAAUAGCAUGAAUGGAAGAUUUGAGAAUAAAUGAUUUGAAAACUUUUGAAGAGUUAUUAGGAAGAAAUUCUCUUUUUUUUGAGAAUAAAUGAUUUGAAAACUUUUGAAGAGUUAUUAGGAAGAAAUUCUCUCUCUCUCUUUUUUUUUUUUUGCAUUC